GCGGGAGUGGCAGAGCGGUCAAAUGUGCAAGGUUGAGGGCCUUGUCCCUCAGUGGGUGCGCGGGUUCAAAUCCCGUCUCCCGCA
rnacentral:tRNA from 1 species